rnacentral:rRNA from 1 species
GACAGAGGAUGCAAGCGUUAUCCGGAAUGAUUGGGCGUAAAGCGUCUGUAGGUGGCUUUUUAAGUCCGCCGUCAAAUCCCAGGGCUCAACCCUGGACAGGCGGUGGAAACUACCAAGCUGGAGUACGGUAGGGGCAGAGGGAAUUUCCAGUGGAGCGGUGAAAUGCGUAGAUAUUGGAAAGACCACCAAUGGCGAAGGCACUCUACUGGGCCAUUACUGACGCUCAGGUGCGAAAGCUAGGGGGAGCGAACAGG